GGGGUUGUAGCUCAGUGGCAGAGCGCUUGCCUUGCAUGUGAGAGGUACUUGGUUCGAUCCUCAGCACCA
rnacentral:tRNA from 1 species